AGGCGGUUAAGAUCAAGUUAAUGAGCUUUUUUAAAAAAAACACUUUCCCCUGAACAAUUUCAUUUAUUAGAUUAAAAAAUGUUACAAAUAAAGGAAAAACCUGUUUGCUUCUGUGGAGGGACGAGGCAAAAUGUCCAGGCUGGGGAUUAACGUUUUUCCACAUAUGUUGCCUGACCUGCUGAUGGUUCCAGUAUUAUCUGAUUUGAUGUCUUGGAGAGAAGUCCAUUAUGGUCUGACUACCUUUCAGCAUAAGAAGAGAUCGGAGCUGAUGGGGUCUCAGUUUAACAUCUGGUCUGAAGAACUGCUGAAGCAAAAUUCUUUCAGUAAUGCAACACAUCAGGCAUAAAAAAAAUGAUUUUCACGGCUUGAGGCAAGAGCAAUACCCACUUUUGAAGAGGGCUGAUUCGGAAGAGGUUUCCAA